rnacentral:tRNA from 1 species
GGGGUUGUGAUUCAGUGGUAGAGUGCUCACCUAGCAUGUGUGAGGCACUGGGUUCAAUUCUCAGCACCA